rnacentral:rRNA from 1 species
AACGAACGUUAGCGGUGUGGAUUAGGCAUGCAAGUCGCGCGCGAAAAUCCGCUAAGGAUAAGUAAAGCGGCGAAAGGGUGAGUAAGACGUAGCCAACCUACCUUCGAAAUCGGAAUAACUACUGGAAACGGUGGCUAAUGCUGGAUGUUUUUGCCGAAAGGCAUCUUUAGGCAAGGAAACGGCGGCGAAAGCUGCUGUUCGAAAACGGGGCUACGGGCUAUCAGCUAGUUGGUGAGGUAACGGCUCACCAAGGCGAUGACGGCUAGCCGAUCUGAGAGGAUGACCGGCCACACUGGGACUGAGAUACUGCCCAGACUCCUACGGGAGGCUGCAGUCGAGAAUCUUCCGCAAUGGGCGAAAGCCUGACGGAGCGACACCGCGUACAGGAUGAAGGCC